GAUGAACGCUGGCGACGUGCCUAAUACAUGCAAGUCGAGCGAACGGACGAGAAGCUUGCUUCUCUGAUGUUAGCGGCGGACGGGUGAGUAACACGUGGAUAACCUACCUAUGAGACUGGGAUAACUUCGGGAAACCGGAGCUAAUACCGGAUAAUAUUUUGAACCGCAUGGUUCAAAAGUGAAAGACGGUCUUGCUGUCACUUAUAGAUGGAUCCGCGCUGCAUUAGCUAGUUGGUAAGGUAACGGCUUACCAAGGCAACGAUGCAUAGCCGACCUGAGAGGGUGAUCGGCCACACUGGAACUGAGACACGGUCCAGACUCCUACGGGAGGCAGCAGUAGGGAAUCUUCCGCAAUGGGCGAAAGCCUGACGGAGCAACGCCGCGUGAGUGAUGAAGGUCUUCGGAUCGUAAAACUCUGUUAUUAGGGAAGAACAUAUGUGUAAGUAACUGUGCACAUCUUGACGGUACCUAAUCAGAAAGCCACGGCUAACUACGUG
rnacentral:rRNA from 1 species